rnacentral:lncRNA from 1 species
CCAGGGACAGUGGUUAUACUGGGAACCUGAAGAGGUUAACACCAGGGACAGUAGUAAUACCGGGGACCAUGAGAGGUAAUACUUGGGGACCCAUGAUAGAGGUUAACACCAGGGACAGUAAUAAUAACUGGGGACCAUGAUAGAGCUUAACACCAGGGACAGUGGUAAUACUGGGGACCCGAUAGAGGUUAACACCAGGGACAGUGGUAAUACAGGGACCAUGAUAGAGGUUAACACCAGGGACAGUAGUAAUACAGGGGACCAUGAUAGAGGUUAACACCAGGGACAGUGGUAAUACAGGGGACCAUGAUAGAGGUUAACACCAGGGACAGUGGUAAUACAGGGGGACCAUGAUAGAGGUUAACACCAGGGACAGUGGUAUACAGGGGACCAUGAUAGAGGUAAUACAGGGACCAUGAUAGAGUUACACCGGGACAGUGGUAAUACAGGGGACCAUGAUAGGGUUAACACCAGGGACAGUGGUAAUACAGGGGACCAUAUAGAGGUUAACACAGGGACAGUGGUAAACAGG